ACACUCCUGCGGGAGGCAGCAGUGGGGAAUUUUGGACAAUGGGCGAAAGCCUGAUCCAGCAAUGCCGCGUGAGUGAAGAAGGCCUUCGGGUUGUAAAGCUCUUUUGUCAGGGAAGAAACGGUGAGAGCUAAUAUCUCUUGCUAAUGACGGUACCUGAAGAAUAAGCACCGGCUAACUACGUGCCAGCAGCCGCGGUAAUACGUAGGGUGCAAGCGUUAAUCGGAAUUACUGGGCGUAAAGCGUGCGCAGGCGGUUUUGUAAGUCUGAUGUGAAAUCCCCGGGCUCAACCUGGGAAUUGCAUUGGAGACUGCAAGGCUAGAAUCUGGCAGAGGGGGGUAGAAUUCCACGUGUAGCAGUGAAAUGCGUAGAUAUGUGUAGGAACACCGAUGGCGAAGGCAGCCCCCUGGGUCAAGAUUGACGCUCAUGCACGAAAGCGUGGGGAGCAAACAGGAUUAGAAACCCCUGUAGUCCCAU
rnacentral:rRNA from 1 species